rnacentral:pre_miRNA from 1 species
ACAUACUUCUUUAUAUGCCCAUAUGAACCUGCUAAGCUAUGGAAUGUAAAGAAGUAUGUAU